ACUUUAUUAGUUUAUAAAAAAUAUUAUCUUGAAGAGGUAAAGAAUUUUAGAGUG
rnacentral:tRNA from 1 species